rnacentral:rRNA from 1 species
GAUGAACGCUGGCGGCGUGCUUAAUACAUGCAAGUCGAGCGAACAGACGAGAAGCUUGCUUCUCUGAUGUUAGCGGCGGACGGGUGAGUAACACGUGGAUAACCUACCUAUAAGACUGGGAUAAUUUCGGGAAACCGGCGCUAAUACCGGAUAAUCUUUUGAAGCGCAUGGUUCAAUAGUGAAAGACGGUCUUGGUGUAACUUAUCGCUGGAUCCGCGCUGCAUUAGCUAGUUGGUAAGGUAACGGCUUAUCACGGCAACGAUGCAUAUCCGACCUGAGAGGGUGAUCGGCCACACGGGAACGGAGACGCGGUCAAUACGCCUACGGGAGGCAGCAGUAGGGAACCGGACGCAAUGGGCGAAAGCCUGACGGAGCAACGCCGCGUGAGUGAUGAAGGUCUUCGGAUCGUAAAACUCUGUUAUUAGGGAAGAACAGAUGUGUAAGUAACUGUGCACAUCUUGACGGUACCUAAUCAGAAAGCCACGGCUAACUACGUG